AUUUUCUGGGGUUUUACAUUUUUAAUUUAUAAAUAUAUAAUAUUGAUGUUAAAAACACAUCAAACUCAUAUAUUUACAAAAAAAACAAGUGCUAAUUUUAAAAAUUCAAGUUACUAAUUUUUAGAUAAUAUUAUAAAAUUUUGAUUUUAUUUUUAUUUUUUGGAUUUGUAAUGUUAAACUCUUCAACUAUGUUUACUUAAUGUAGAAACUCCUAAACUAAAGAUUUACCUAUAGUAAUGGUAAUUAUGACAUGUUAGGGUUUAAUUCAUUAAAUAAAAUUAGUUUGAGGAAUUUUUCGUUAAAUAUUUAAUUUAGAGGUUUUUACCCAAAACAAACUUAGUUGAAGAGUUUUAACUUUAAUUUAUGUUGUAUUUUGUCUUCAUUCAUAUGAUCACAUGUUUGAAUAAUAACUCAUUUCAAUCAACAUACGGUCAUUAUUCGUCUAACUCCGCUCGACUCAAACUAUAUCCAAUAGAUUUUAUGAUGGAUGGCUAUGUAAUGGAUUUGGUUGCGACUGAUUAUGUUAAAAAAACAAAAAUAUUAGAAAGAAAUAAAAAUAAGACAUUAAUAAAGCUUCUAAUAAAGCACCAUUUAGUUUUUCUUUUGCGUGACUUCAUGUUAUAGGUAACCUGAGAAUUGUCCAUUCAUUUUGGUUUUCUGGUAGUUCAGUAGUAUUUGUUUUCGUUCAUUUUCAUAUAAAUUUACCUAAUCUUAAAUUAUAAAUUUAUAAAACUCAUCCAUAUGCAAUGCAGAUGAGGGCAUUCGCAUGAUGACCUUUAGAUGGCAUAGACAUGGUUAAUUGGUUGUGAAUUUAUGAUAGUGUGUAUGUAGGCCUGUUCAAUAUGGUAAUACCGAACCGAACCGAAUCGAACCGAACCGAAAUAGACAAUAUGGUUUGGUUUUGGUAUAUACCAUUUAAACCGAAUGGAUAUGAUUUUAUAAAAACCGUAGGAUUUGGAUAUGGUUAGGUUUAUAACCGAAUAAACCGAAUAAACCGAAUAAAACCGAUUAAAAUAAGAACAUAUAAAUAUAUACAUUAUAUAACGCCAGGGUACAUAAUACGUGUAACUGAUAUGUUAAUAUGUUAUAUAAGUUAAUUUUCUUGUUAAUAAAUAAUACCGUAUACUUUUAUAUUAAAGAAGCCCUAAUUUGAAAAUACUUAAACAAUAAUUUAAAAAACUCACAGCAGCCGUAGGUGGAAUAGUCUUCUUCUUUUAACUUUUUGCUUCUUAGUUCCUACUGCCAUUGAAUCAUUGACUGAGUGAAGGUAUCUCUUAAUAAUUUUCUCUUUUUGAUUUUUCAUGCUUUGAGAAAUUGUAAAAUUAGAUGGUAACAAGAAAUUUCUUUGAAAAAACAGAGGAGAACAAGAAGAGCUGUAAUAAACAAAAGAGCAUCGAACGGAUGUUGGAUGAAUAUGAAUUCAUGGACUCUCUAGUAGAAGAAUUUCACGUUCAGUCAGAGGAGGCAUGACUGAUGAACAAUGUCACCAAUUAUGGGAGAGUGGGAAAACGUUUUUUCAUGCAUAUGUUUUGUUUUUAUUAUUUAUUUUUCACAACUUUGAGCUAUGGUUUUGGUUUUUGAUUUGAUUAUUUUAUUUGCUUAUUUUGUUACUCUUUGACAUUGAUUAUUUAUAAGAUGAACGUUUUGAUAAAUGAUAGCUUUAACAACAUGACUCUUUAAAAUUCAUAUAAUAUAUAACCAAACUAAAUAAUAAUGUUUUCUUUGGUAUAAAACCGAAUAAACCGAAAACCGGUAGUAUAAAAACCGAACCAAACCAAAUUAGAUAUGGUUCUAAUAUGGUAUCUAAUUUUUAUAAACCGAAAAACCGAAAAACCGAAAAAACCGAACCGAAACCGUACCGAAACCCGGAUUGGACAGGCCUAUGUGUAUGGGUCUAUCGAUGUUUAAGUAAGCAUGUCUAAAUGGAAUGUGCAUUAUAACCUAUGAUUGUUCUUAUUCCCUGCUGCUGAUUAUUAUGAUUUAUUUACUUGCCUUUUUCUUGUUGGCACUAUUAUGCAUUCUCAAUGUAAUAAUAGAAGCCUUCCUUUCUUGGUCCCUUUUUAUUCCUUUUAAAAAUCUUACGCUUUUUCGUAACUUUUAAUCAUACAGAACUAUAUAAUAUUCACAUGCUACAAGAUUUUGGUUUGUGAAUUUUCAUUUAUUAAGAUCCUAUAUUUACUAUUCAAAUGAAGUUAAAAUAGUAUAACUGAAACAUGACUAGUUCACUUAAAUGCCAAGUAAUGUGUAAGUUGGAAGCCAUAUUCCCAACAUUAUCUUACAUUAUACUACCAGUCAUUUCUCUUCUUUUUUUAUAAAAAAACGAGAAGUAAUUUAGAUUACCUCCUCAACAACUAGUUGAGAUUACAGCAGAUAGAACUGGGAAAGGUCAUUUCCACGUGUGGAAGAAGAAGCACCAGAUUAUAAUGGAAAAGGUCUUGAGAAUUAAUUCUAGGAAAUGGGUACCAAUAUGAAAUCGAACCCUGGUGGGGAGUUGUAACUCAAGUGACACUCAACCAUUUUGAACAGACUCGAAUUGGUAUUACCAGUGAUUUCUCUAAUAAACUUUUUAAAUAACUUAAGCUUUACCUGUUAUUUUGACACAUUCGUUGUAUGUUUUUAUAAUCAGUUGUCAUGCAAUCUAGUCACUCCCAUUAUUUUAGUUUUACUUUUACUAGAUUUUUUAGCCGUGCUACGCACGGAUAAGAUAAAAUAUGUAUUUCUCAAUUCUAAAAAAAUAAUGUAUAAUAUUGUAUUAUAUUAUUUAAAAAAUAUAAAAUAAGACUACAUAACAUAAAUAUAUUUUUAAAAUUUUCUUUGUGAAAAUCAUUAUGUUGUUUGAUUGUUGUACUUGAUUCACAUAUUUGCAUAGAUAUUUGUGAUAGAUGAAUAACUAUAUUUUUUAUUAUCAAUAAAUAAUAUAUAUUUAUUAUAUAAUAUAAGAAAAAUAAAAUUAUUACAACGUAUUAUAUUUAGUUAUUAUAAAAAUAAAAUAAAAAGGAGUGGCAAAGUAUUGAAAGAGUAGAGACAACUUCAUUACAACGAAGAAGAAAUCUAGAAGAGCGAUCUGCUAAACAGUGGACAAGACCAUCGAAUGAAACAAUCAAGUGUAAUGUAGAUGGGAGUUUUGUAAAUCAUCAAACAAGGGCAAAGGUUGGGUUUAUCAUUAGAGAUGAUCAAGGAACUUAUAAAGAAAGUGUCCAAGCCAAAGGCAAAAUUGUUCAAACAGCAUUGGAGAGUGAACUACAAGGUAUACUUAUGGCAUUACAACAUUGUUGGAUCAGAGAUUACAAGAAGAUUAUAUUGGAGUCCGAUUGCCAAAAAGCAGUGGAUAUACUAAUCAACAACAAGCUAUACUUUGGUGUAUACAACUGGACUAGAGAGAUCAGAUGGUGGUUAAGAAAAUUUGAAGUUUGUACCAUAUCUUGGGUGGCAAGGAAUGCAAAUCGUGUAGCAGAUAAGUUGGCAAAGGCUAAUAUACCAAACAAUAGUCUAUUUGUAUUUCAUUAUUUUGUACCAACAAUGAUUCAUAAUUCUCUACAUGAGGAUUAUAUUCGUGCUGCUUAAAUCAAUAAAAUAGACGUUAUAAAAAAAGAAAAAUAAAAUUAUUUACUUUUUAAACAAAUUUGUCUCAUGUUGGGGACUCGGUUAUAGACAUAUCAUAUUCGAAGGAGAUAUUUUUACAGUUAUCAAUCUUCUUAACAGUUAAGAAACAAAUCUGAAUAUUAAAACAAUAUCUCAUACGAUAUUUUUGUGGAAUAACUGCUCUGAAGAAAUUGAAUUUAGGCAUAAAAAAGAACUGGAAAUGGAUGUACAGAUGUGUUAUCUAAAUCAGCUUUACAAAGUACUAUUCAUAGUUCAUAUAUCAUUUAUGUUCAUCCUAUUUUUUGUCCAUCUUUUCUUAAACAUCUUGAAAUAACUGAAGCUAAUUAAUAAUAAACUUU